GUGACGGCGUACCUUUUGUAUAAUGGGUCAUCGACUUGGUCUAUCUAGCAAGCUUAAGCCGAUAGGUGUAGGCGCAGCGAAAGCGAGUCUUAAUAGGGCGUCGAGUUAGAUGGAUCAGACCCGAAACCGAGUGAUCUAGGCAUGACCAGGAUGAAGGUAAGGUAACACUUACUGGAGGUCCGAACCCACACCUGUUGAAAAAGGUCGGGAUGAGUUGUGCCUAGGGGUGAAAGGCCAAUCAAACUCGGAGAUAGCUGGUUCUCCGCGAAAUCUAUUUAGGUAGAGCGUCAUCCGAAUACCCCGGGGGGUAGAGCACUGGAUGGGUAAUGGGGCCCCACAGGCUUACUGAUCCUAACCAAACUCCGAAUACCCGGGAGUACUAGAUGGCAGACACACUGCGGAUGCUAACGUCCGUAGUGGAGAGGGAAACAACCCUGACCUACAGCUAAGGCCCCCAAUUCAUGGCUAAGUGGGAAAGCAGGUGGGACGACCAAAACAACCAGGAGGUUGGCUUAGAAGCAGCCAUCCUUUAAAGAUAGCGUAACAGCUCACUGGUCUAAACAAGUUGUCCUGCGGCGAAGAUGUAACGGGGCUCAAGCCAUGAGCCGAAGCUUAGGAUGCCGUAAGGCAUGGUAGCGGAGCGUAGUGUGAUAUAGGACUUAUCCUUUACUGCCGCCGGUCGUACGGAGCGUGGAAACGCGCUCAAGUAGCCGAUAGGCGGUAGCGCAGGAGAAAGUCUUUUCUGUGAAGCCGGCCUGUGAGGGAUCCGGUGGAGAGAUCACUAGCGAGAAUGAUGACAUGAGUAGCGACAAAGAGUGUGAGAGACACUCUCGCCGAAAGUCCAAGGGUUCCUGCUUAAAGCUAAUCUGAGCAGGGUAAGCCGACCCCUAAGGCGAGGCCGAAAGGCGUAGUCGAUGGGAACCAGGUUAAUAUUCCUGGGCCAGGAGGAUGUGACGGAUUGUGGCGGCGUGCGUGCCUUAUCGGAUUGGCGCGUAUCCAAGACAGUCCCAGGAAAUAGCCCUCCAUGAGAUCGUACCCUAAACCGACACAGGUGGACUGGUAGAGAAUACCAAGGCGCUUGAGAGAACGAUGUUGAAGGAACUCGGCAAAAUACCUCCGUAAGUUCGCGAGAAGGAGGCCCGGUACACGACUACCGGGGGCACAAACCAGGGGGUGGCGACUGUUUAUUAAAAACACAGGGCUCUGCGAAGUCGCAAGACGACGUAUAGGGUCUGACGCCUGCCCGGUGCCUGAAGGUUAAAAGGAGGGGUGCAAGCUCCGAAUUGAAGCCCAGGUAAACGGCGGCCGUAACUAUAACGGUCCUAAGGUAGCGAAAUUCCUUGUCGGGUAAGUUCCGACCUGCACGAAUGGCGUAACGACUUCCCCGCUGUCUCCAACAUCGACUCAGCGAAAUUGAAUUGCCUGUCAAGAUGCAGGCUUCCCGCGGUUAGACGGAAAGACCCCGUGCACCUUCACUACAGCUUCGCACUGGCAUCAGGCACAACAUGUGCAGGAUAGGUGGUAGGCUUUGAAGCAGGGACGCCAGUCCCUGUGGAGCCUCCCUUGAGAUACCACCCUUGUUCUGCUUGAUGUCUAACCGCGGCCCGUUAUCCGGGUCCGGGACCCUGCGUGGUGGGUAGUUUGACUGGGGCGGUCGCCUCCUAAAGCGUAACGGAGGCGCGCGAAGGUUGGCUCAGAGCGGUCGGAAAUCGCUCGUUGAGUGCAAUGGCAGAAGCCAGCCUGACUGCAAGACUGACAAGUCGAGCAGAGUCGAAAGACGGCCAUAGUGAUCCGGUGGUCCCAAGUGGGAGGGCCAUCGCUCAACGGAUAAAAGGUACGCCGGGGAUAACAGGCUGAUACUGCCCAAGAGUCCAUAUCGACGGCAGUGUUUGGCACCUCGAUGUCGGCUCAUCUCAUCCUGGGGCUGGAGCAGGUCCCAAGGGUAUGGCUGUUCGCCAUUUAAAGAGGUACGUGAGCUGGGUUUAGAACGUCGUGAGACAGUUCGGUCCCUAUCUGCCGUGGGUGUAGGAUACUUGAGAGGAGUUGCCCCUAGUACGAGAGGACCGGGGUGAACGAUCCACUGGUGGACCUGUUGUUGCGCCAGCAGCAGUGCAGGGUAGCUAUGAUCGGACAGGAUAACCGCUGAAGGCAUCUAAGCGGGAAGCCCCCCUCAAAACAAGGUAUCCCUGAGGACCGUGGAAGACCACCACGUCGAUAGGCCGGAGAUGUAAGCACAGCAAUGUGUUCAGUUGACCGGUACUAAUGGUCCGAUAGGCUUGAUUUGAUCCAGUAACAGCAAGGUUGAAGACAACCUCGUUACGGA
rnacentral:rRNA from 1 species